rnacentral:rRNA from 1 species
GAUGAACGCUGGCGGCGUGCUUAAUACAUGCAAGUCGAACGAGGGUUUCAGCAAUGGGAUCCGAGUGGCGAACGGGUGAGUAACGCGUUGGUGACCUACCCCGAAGUGUGGGAUAACAGUCCGAAAGGAUUGCUAAUACCGCAUGUGGUCCCCGGGUUUAGAAACCGGUGACUAAAGCAGUAAUGCGCUUUGGGAGGGACCUGCGUCCCAUCAGCUAGUUGGUGAGGUAACGGCUCACCAAGGCGUCGACGGGUAAGGGACCUGAGAGGGUGGUCCCUCACAAUGGCACUGAAACACGGGCCAUACACCUACGGGAGGCAG